CACAGUGUUACGAAGGACCUUGGUAGUACGUGCUUAAGGUUCACAAUUGCAGGACAUUGACAGAAAAGGUAAUCGGAUGCAAUCUUUAUUGAUGCGCGCGCGAUUUGAUGUUCUGACGCCGAGCCUCUGUGUAGCGGUUGAUACAUAUUGUUAACGCCAAAAUGUGGCUUGUUGAUAGUGCGGUCGAGGCCUAUAAUAUGAUAGUGCGGACUUGACCUUAUAAUCAAUACAUUAUCUGUGAACAUUACUGUUUUAUAUUGUUUUAUCUAUAUUGUCUAUGAAAAUUCUGUAUAUAAAGUGAAAAUUAAAUUAUAACGGACACUCCGCUGCUAAAAUUCGAAAUAGUCGUUUUUCUUCUCACCUUUGUGAUCCUGCAAAUAUUAAAAGAGAUCCUGUAGUCAGGAUCUCAUUGUGUAGAUUUCCAUAAUUUACAUAAUUGGCGACCGUGUGACAAAACUACAAAAAACCUAAGAAGAAAAUCAAAUCCAGCGAGAAGUCUACGAAGCCAUCACCGAAACUCCAAAAUUCGUUUCGCGGUAUCAGGCUCAAACAAAGAACACCGUUGCUGCCAGGCCGGGACCCGCCAGUUCCGCAAGUACCGGGCGCAACAAGAGGAAUCAACAUCGGACGCCCGCGUAGUCGUGGGGCCGAACAUACAAGACCGUUGCAGCCAGGCCGGGACUGAGUUCCGCAUGCACCAGGCGCAAGGCAAUCAAUCAAGACCGGAUUCCGGCGUAGUCGCUGGGCCGCGUAAAUAUUCAUCCCGCAAAUCGGGAUACCUAAAACAACUUCGGACGCCUGCGUAGUCGUGGGCCGACGAAGAUAGCAAGACCAUUGCAGCUAGGCCGGGGCUUUUCAGUUCCGCAAGCACCAGGCGCAACGCGAAGCAUCACUAGCAGAAGCCGGCGUAGUCGCCGAGCCGCAAAUCAUCGCAUCUGCAGCAUCAGAGCGAACCGCAGCGUCCCGCAGUGACGAGACGUGACAAGAAAAUCUCAUCGGAAGCCGGCGUAGUCGUCGGGCCGAAAUAUUCAGAUAAGUGUCUAAAUCCACUCACAAACAUUCAUAUUCAUCCAUUCAUCCACUAAUCCAUCUCACAAUCACAUCACAAACAUCCAUUGCUCCAAAAUAACCCACAUAAUAUCACGCACUAAUAAUAUAGUCAUCCAUUUUGCAUGAAACGUUCACUAUUUUUCAAAUUCUCACUUCAUAGAAUACGUGAGUCAUACGUUGCGUUAUACUCAAAUUGAAAUAAUUGUAACAGCACGCGCAUUGUAUCAGUCACCGCGCGCACAACUACUAAAUACUAAAUUCAAUUUAUUGCAUAAAAAUUUAUCCAGCCGCGCAUCAAUAGGUAACAAAAGAUCGUCUCUGCAAACGAUAAGGAACCGGUUUGUUUAGUGUACUCGCGGUUGCAAAUCGUAAACGAUGUCUCUUGACGAAUUAGUUCUACAACGUAACAUAAUAAAGCGACGCGUAACGAGGUUUAAAAAUCAUUUGAGUGUAAUAAGUGAACUUUCCUUAGAUUCGUUACAAUUAAGUACUUUAGAAAUAAAAUUAAACAAAUUCGAGUGCUUAGAAAACGAAUUCUUAAAUUUACAGUGCCAAAUAGAAUGCUUAAAUUCAAGUGAUUUACAGGAUGAACUAGAUAUUCGCGAAGACAUCGAAGAUGGUUUCAUUAGUGCGAUUGUUAUGGCGCGCGAUAUAGUGUCGCGUAAUGCCAGAUCUUUUCGAACUAAAGACACUUGUAGUGCAUCUCCGAUUAGCCAAGAGCAGGGCACUUACUGGUCGGCCGGCGUCUGACCACGUUAAUCAUCAUCAUCGACUUGAAUUGAAGACCAGAGAACCAACUGAAGUUCUACGGCAAGAAGGCAGCAUCACACACCUCAGCGAGCACCUGCGCCGGGUCACCACAUUUCUCGUCCACGCUGCACGGAAAGUAGUGCGACGAGCGUUGAACGGCAUUUACCCCUGUGCCCUCCUACUGAUUCUUAAACGCUUAACGUUUCAGAGGGGGGAAUUUAUGUUAACGCCAAAAUGUGGCUUGUUGAUAGUGCGGUCGAGGCCUAUAAUAUGAUAGUGCGGACUUGACCUUAUAAUCAAUACAUUAUCUGUGAACAUUACUGUUUUAUAUUGUUUUAUCUAUAUUGUCUAUGAAAAUUCUGUAUAUAAAGUGAAAAUUAAAUUAUAACGGACACUCCGCUGCUAAAAUUCGAAA